rnacentral:tRNA from 1 species
GCACCCUUCGUCUAGCGGUCCAGGACACCGCCCUUUCACGGCGGUAACACGGGUUCGAGUCCCGUAGGGUGUACCA